CUCCUCGUGCCCACGUGGCGCAAAUUCACCCCUCAUCUCCUUAACAAGAGAAAAAUCCAAUAGAUUAACACACAAACCCAACUAUUAAAAAAAAAACAACCAAAGAGUGAAAAGGACUCCAUUGAUGAAAGCAAAAGAACAUGUAGAGAAGAAGAAGAAGAAGAAGCAAGCUAUCCAUCCUUAGAAGAGAGAGAGAGAGAGAGAGAGAUGAGAGCACUGCGAAAAUUUAGGCUGCUGGCGAUGAAAUGCGUGGCGGCGAGUACCCCUCCCGGAAGCCCCGCCGCUGGAGGCGGCAGCGCAACCCGGUCAUUCCACUUCCGGCGACGGAGAGCCCCGAAGAAGCCCCACAAGAUCUUGUCCCUUCGCCGGUUUCUCUGCCCGGGGAAUCAAUCCGGCGAGGAUUCUUUGGAAUUGGGGGAGAAAAAGGCGCUGCUGAGCCACAGCCUGAAGGAUUUAUUCUCGUCGUCCCCGCCGCCGACGGAAGGGGAAGAAGAGGUUAAUUGGGGUGGUGGCGGGGGAGGAGUUGAAUUGGAAAGGGAACGCGGUGGUUUGGCGAGGAUGUGGGGGUUCGAGGGGCGGAGCGGCGGAGGCGCGAGGAGGUUUGGGUCGGUGGCGCGGCUCCGGUAUCGGUUGCUUAGGAGGGCUUGGCGACCCGUACUGGUUGCUAUUCCUGAGUGAGUAAAAUUUCUGAGGCAGGGUAUAUUUUCCUGUUUUAUUGAGUGUAAAUAUUUUCUACCCUUUUAUUUUUCCUAUCUACAAAUUAUGCUAAGUAAUCCUUUCUCGAACAUAACGUUAUUUAUAAAAUUUUCUAUAAAAAUAUUUACUAAUAUUAACAUUUUCACUGCAUUAUAGUUCAAAUUCUAUAUCAGCUAAAAGUUAUUUUCAUUUGAGGCGGGGAAAGCAGCUGUACGAGAAUCAUUUCAUAAAUGAAUACAUCCAGCGCUAUUUCAGCCCUCAACCUCCCAAGACAGAACAACCAAAUAUAUAUAUAUAUAUAUAUAUAUAUAUAUAU
rnacentral:lncRNA from 1 species